rnacentral:rRNA from 1 species
UGUGUAAGUAACUGUGCACAUCUUGACGGUACCUAAUCAGAAAGCCACGGCUAACUACGUGCCAGCAGCCGCGGUAAUACGUAGGUGGCAAGCGUUAUCCGGAAUUAUUGGGCGUAAAGCGCGCGUAGGCGGUUUUUUAAGUCUGAUGUGAAAGCCCACGGCUCAACCGUGGAGGGUCAUUGGAAACUGGAAAACUUGAGUGCAGAAGAGGAAAGUGGAAUUCCAUGUGUAGCGGUGAAAUGCGCAGAGAUAUGGAGGAACACCAGUGGCGAAGGCGACUUUCUGGUCUGUAACUGACGCUGAUGUGCGAAAGCGUGGGGAUCAAACAGGAUUAGAUACCCUGGUAGUCCACGCCGUAAACGA